rnacentral:lncRNA from 1 species
AGUACUUAGUAAAAAGAAAACCAGAAGGGGAUCUGGAACAGAAUCCCUGUGUCUAAAUUAAAAACAGAGACUCAUUCAGAACAGUACAGUAGGUACACAUGCAGGGCAUACAGCAAACACACCACAGUGGGUGCCUGAGAGGAGCGAAGGGGCUGGGAACGAGGGAGAAGAGGAAAAGAAGCAAAAGGGGUUCUUGCAGAGACCUAUGAUAAUGUGUCUCAAAUGGAGGGGGCUUUCAUAACAGAAUUCAAAAGGAAAAAACACAACCACAUUUCGAGUCAGAAAACCCAGGGAUAAAUGUUCCCAUGAGUCUUCCUGGCUUCCCAUGAGUUACUGCCUGGCAAGUAACUUAACCAAGCCUCAGUUUGCCCUUCGUGGAACUUCAUAUCUUUUAAAGCAGAUACGAAGGGCGGCCCUGCAGAGUUGCUGUGUGAGCAUCCAAAGGGAUGUGUGCAGAUGGCCUGAGUGUGAAUACAACAGAGGCUUCCUCCAUGUCAACUAAGGAUUCAGCCUUCUUGUCUGUCAAAUGGGCAUUAUUACAUGACCCAUCUGGCACCAUUAUGAUGAGGUUUCAAUGAGACAUGACAGGGGAAGGACGAAAAGCACAAUGAUGACUAUUUGGGGGAAGGAGGCACGUCCCUCACGGAGCUGAGCUUGUAUAAGACACUGUGCUGGGGGCUUAGCAGCUCAUCUCGCUGGGUGAGGCAUACAGGUCCUCAUACCUGGCUGCAGCACCCCCUCCUUCACCCUGGAGCGCCUAUGACAUCCUGGGACAUGUCUGAGAGCAGGCUCCCCGCAACACCAGUCCCAGGGGUACACGAGGCCCUACCAACCCACAUAUAUAUUCCUUUUUCUUUUCUUCUCUGGUAAUGAAUCAUUUUUUUAACUGUAUAAGGAAGGUUACCAAAAAGAGAAGAGAUUAGAAGACAGAAGAGAAGAAGAGAAGAAGAAAUUAUCAUACUCCUAUGACCCCAAGGGCCUGUUAUCACUAAGACACUGCAGUGAAGAAUUGCAACACCGAGGCCAUUCCUUGAUUAUGGAACCUAGUUAGGGAGUCAAGACUCCAACAUGAGGAAUGUUAGAUAAGCACGCAGGAAUGAAGUCGAAGAUAACAGAGCAAGACAAAGACUGAUCGUGUGUGGGCCCUGCGUGGUCUGGGUGCAGGAGGGCAGGUCAUGGGGAUGAAGCUGAAGACUGGCCUUGUAGGAUACAAUGCCUGAGACCCCCACUGCCUUCCUCCCCUCUCCUCAGGGCUUGACACUGGGUGACACACUGGCCUGAGGACACGGGUCCCACAGGGGAGAAAAG